UAGGGAAUCUUCGGCAAUGGACGAAAGUCUGACCGAGCAACGCCGCGUGAGUGAAGAAGGUUUUCGGAUCGUAAAACUCUGUUGUUAGAGAAGAACAAGGACGUUAGUAACUGAACGUCCCCUGACGGUAUCUAACCAGAAAGCCACGGCUAACUACGUGCCAGCAGCCGCGGUAAUACGUAGGUGGCAAGCGUUGUCCGGAUUUAUUGGGCGUAAAGCGAGCGCAGGCGGUUUCUUAAGUCUGAUGUGAAAGCCCCCGGCUCAACCGGGGAGGGUCAUUGGAAACUGGGAGACUUGAGUGCAGAAGAGGAGAGUGGAAUUCCAUGUGUAGCGGUGAAAUGCGUAGAUAUAUGGAGGAACACCAGUGGCGAAGGCGGCUCUAUGGUCUGUAACUGACGCUGAGGCUCGAAAGCGUGGGGAGCAAACAGG
rnacentral:rRNA from 2 species